ensembl:snoRNA
AAGAGUGAGAUCCUACUGGCACAUUUGUUAAGUUUUUGCCUGACUCUGCCACAUAUAUUAUAUCGGAGCUGGCAAAGCUUGAUAACAAAGAGAUCUCUCUUAAGCCUUUCCUGCAUCAGAGACUGGCUCCCACAUGU